rnacentral:rRNA from 1 species
GACGAACGCUGGCGGCGCGCCUAACACAUGCAAGUCGAACGAGCGAGAGAGAGCUUGCUUUCUUGAGCGAGUGGCGAACGGGUGAGUAACGCGUGAGGAACCUGCCUCAAAGAGGGGGACAACAGUUGGAAACGACUGCUAAUACCGCAUAAGCUCACGGUGCCGCAUGGCACAGAGGGAAAAGGAGCAAUCCGCUUUGAGAUGGCCUCGCGUCCGAUUAGCUAGUUGGUGAGGUAACGGCCCACCAAGGCGACGAUCGGUAGCCGGACUGAGAGGUGGAACGGCCACAUUGAGACUGAGACACGGCCCAGACUCCUACGGGAGGCAGCAGUGGGGGAUAGUGCAAAAUGGGGGAAACCAUGAUGCAGCGACGCCGCGUGGAGGAAGAAGGUCUGCGGAUUGUAAACUCCUGGUGUUGGGGAAGAUAAUGACGGUACCCAACAAGGAAGUGACGGCUAACUACGUG